CCGGCAGCAGCCGCAGCAGCAGCAGCAAGCACGUUGUUUUUACCACUGCGACAUAAUAUCACACCGAUAUCACCCACUCACGCUCACUCACCUGAGCGCCCCACCCCCACUGCCCUCUACCGCCAUCGCGCCGCCGACGGCAUUGACGCCGUCUCAGUCGAGUUCCGCACGGCUCUCGAUAGAAGAUAUUCUAUUCCGCCGCGCCGCCACUCUAACCUAUAACAACAACAACAACAACAAACCUUUUCGCCGUCGUUGUUUUCACGAACGUACAAAAAACCCUUUGAGGCGAAAAAGAAGUCGAUCUUCGCGUACACCGCGGAUACUUGAACCCGCGCGUAAACUUUUAUGUUCUUCUUGUGUGAAACCGGCUGAUUUUGUUUAGCCGUUGCGUCAGUUUAAAAGUGGAGGUCUUGAGCGCCCUUAAGAGAGGCAGGCAGGGAGACUCACGGGUCCCUGCAACUACCACUUCCACCACGCCGCCUCCGUCCCUUAAGAGGGCCAAGCACGAGGGUGUAGUUCAACAACAACUGCAGCAGCAGGAUAUGGAAGCACCCCUCGGCGUUGCCCUUAGUCAAAGCAUGGAUUCGGUUAACACUAAUAACGGAGAGGAAGAGGUAAAUGAUUUAUCCAGAAUCCAAGUAUUGGUCCGAACAUUAUUUGUAAGCGGUCUCCCCAUGGAUGCCAAGCCUCGUGAAUUAUACCUUCUAUUUAGGGCGUACGAGGGCUACGAAGGCUCGUUGUUAAAAGUCACCAGCAAAAAUGGAAAAACAGCAUCGCCUGUUGGUUUUGUCACGUUCAACACACGAGCUGGAGCAGAGGCAGCAAAACAAGAUUUACAGCAGGGCGUACGGUUUGACCCGGACAUGCCACAGACCAUCCGACUGGAAUUUGCUAAAAGUAACACCAAGGUUAGCAAGCCCAAACAGCAAGCUGCUAACUCAGCCAACACGCACCCAACUUUGAUGCACCCCCUCACAGGACCAUUUUAUAUUUCAGACCUCGGCACACCGUUCUUUCCCGGUGGCCCGGAACUUUGGCAUCAUCCACUCGCAUAUUCCGCAGCAGCCGCGGCUGCCGCAGCAGCAGAACUGCCAGGAGCAGCCGCCCUUCAACACGCAACACUCGUGCACCCGGCGUUGCAUCCCCAGGUGCCACCAUCAAUAUCAAUGCCACAUCCGACUGCUUUAACAUCAGUGCAUGCUGCGGCUUCAUUGCCGCACUUUCUGCCUAGUCCCGCUCUGGCAUCCCCAGUGGGAUCCAGCUCAUCACAGCCCGGAAUGGGGGUGAACAAUCCGCCUUGUUCUACACUUUUCGUGGCUAAUUUGGGACAGUUCGUCUCGGAGCAUGAAUUGAAGGAGAUUUUCGCAAGCUUUCCCGGCUUCUGCCACCUACGCAUACAUGCCAACAAGCAAGGCCAUCUAACUGCCAAUGGAAAUGGUCAUAUAGUCGGUACGGCUGCCACUGCCGGUACUGCCGGUGCCACCAUGGCGACCGGUACUUCCCCGGUCGCAUUUGUUGAAUACCGCGACGUUGGGGGCGCCACUAACGUGAUGACUCAGCUUCAGGGUACCUAUCUGUUAUCUUCGGACCGCGGCCCCAUCAGAAUCGAAUAUGCCAGAAGCAAAAUGGCCGUAAUGGCUGCAGAGGGAACAAAAGGAGAAGAAAAUGGACAAUCUUAAUUCUUACUUGCCGCUCAGUACUUGACAAAAAGCAAUCUUGAUGCAUGGCUACAGCUAAAUGGCGCGAUGGUCAGCUUCUAUUACCAAUGACUGGGAAGCUUUAUUUACAUAAUUGAAAACUCUAUGGCAAAUCCUAACAUUAUAUCUGUUAUCUGAUGUAGAAUAUCUUAUUCUAUUUAGAUAGGAACGACUCUUAUCAAAGGAGAUCGCUAAAUAUUCUAUACUUUUUAUUUAUUAAUACAGUUUCUAAAUGUUACUAAUCAUAAAUGUUUAGAUUAUUUUCAAUAUAAUAAUAUCUGAGAUUUCUAUCUAACUUACAAGUCUAUUAAAAGAUAUGUUAAGUAACAUUUAGAAAUUGUAAUAUUUUUACCUAUACUGAAGAUAAGCUAAACCAAAGGUGCCCUAAAAGUUAAGUUUUAGAGUUAAUAAUAUUGAAAGAAAAGUAAUAGUACUACUAGUACCAUUAAUAUUUUAGUUAUUUUAACUGACAUAGUUUAAACAAUGUCUGUUUAAUUAGGUAGUCUUUUCUGACGCGGUUUUUCAGCUGGUAGACGAAUCCCUGUGAAUUUUUGCGGCAUUUGAUAAAAAAAAGGUUAUAGCUGGGAAAUGCUAGCUCUAAUUAAGUAAGCUAAAUAAAAACUCAAUAUCGUCAAUAUCUAAUAAUUUAAACGUCCAUUUUAUAGCAAUUGCGGAUUAACAUAUUUUAUCUAUUUUUCGUUUAAUUUGUAUUUUGACAUUAGGAUCUUCACUGUAUAUCGACACCACAGUAUUUUAAAAUUUUAAUAAAUUUAUUGAAUCUUAUGAUUAGAUUAUGUACAGGGUUUUUCCGUAGAAGCACAAUAUUCAUCUCUUUAAUAAUAUCGAUGAUUUUUUAUUUAUACUCUAAUUAGUUUUUUUUGCUUAUUUCAAAAUUUAAUACUUCUCAGAAACAUAAAAUAAAAAUAAAUUUUCUCAAAUUUAGAUUAAUAAUUAAUGAAGUUUUAUAUGAUUGUUCACGUAUUAAAGAGAUGAAUUUCGGCCGUAAUGAUGGAAAUCGACCUGUGCCUUAUUAAAUAUUUAAUAAACAAAAAAAUGUAAAUUAGUUAAUUGUACUGUAAAUUGUAAUUUACCCAAGUGCCCCUUAUAUUCUAGUGUUUAUUUGCACCAACUUAUGAAGGUCCUAAUGAGUUUUUCUUAAAGUUUCUAAUGAGAUACUUAAUUUAGUUCUUGUAAAAAUAUCAAGGGAUGAGUAUCUGAUUUAGUAAGUAUAUCCUGUAGAUUAAAAUAAAACGAAAUCGUUCUCUUAAAAUAAAAAGUUUUUAAUGCUCUCAAAAGUAAUAAAAUAUCUAAGAUGAGUUCUCUCGGAACAUUUUUAACUAAAUUUAUUAAUAUUAAUUAAUAAUUCUUAAUACUGUUCAUUACUGAGAGCUUUAAAAAACUUAUUCAAUAUUAGUUGCAAUUGCAGAGGACAAGUCCAAUGACAAACAUAUCAAUUAAAUUGUAAAUUAAAAAAAAGUUACUCUCUGAAAUAAAGCUAUUUAUAAAUCUAUUAGAGUACUUUCUAAUCUAUUAGGCAAAGAUUAAGAUUUAACACCCAUUAUGAGGAAGUUAAGCUUACAAUUAGAUAAAUUUUGAAAAUAAAAAUUAUUAGAUGUAAUUUAACUGUAAGGAGCUUUUUUGCUUAUAAAUUUAAUCUAAUGUUACUUUGUAGCAGUUAAAUACAAGCAUUUGUUAUCUUGCAAUAUAAAAAAUGCAUGAAAUUUAUAAAAGUAGUUUAACUGAAUAGUUUUAAUAGUAAUAAGUUGCUGUACCUUAAAAUUAGUAUAGUAGCUAGAACCUUUGUACCCAUAUUUUAGAAACCCCUGUGGUAUAAAAUCUAUCUUGAUUAUUGUAAUAGCACAACUUUAUUUCUUAUUUGUCGGUAAGAUAAAAAAAAAUCGAAAAAAUUCAAGGAAAAGUAGUUCAAAAAUCACUGUUUUCUUUAAAAAUCUUAAGAGGCUUCUUAAACAAUUAAAAGUAUGGCUACAUAGGUUGAUUAACCAAAGUUUAAAUUUAAAUAGAUGAACUUAAUAUAUUAUACUAAUUUUAAUCUUGUUAUUUUAAGGAUUUGAUUAACAAUUAUUUUUAUAUGAUUUUAUAAUUUUUUUACAUUACCAGUAGCCCCUUGUAAUAAAUUCUUUAAUUAUUGUCGCCAGCGAUUAAUUCUUUAAAUGUCAUUUUUACAAUACAGAGUAUUAAUAAGGCAUGUACAGUGUAUUUGCGCUAGAAGAUGUGAUCGUCUUGUUACACCUUUAAAAACUUAAUUUUUUUAUGAUUUUUUAUGAUUUUUCAUUGGUUUACUUGUUCUUGAAUACACAUUUAGGGAAUAGGAAACCCGAUAUUUUGGAAUCUAAUCACGGCCAACAGCUACAACUUAAAAAAAAUGAAACUACAUUUAUUAAUUUUAAAAAAAUCAUUAACAUUUUGCUGCGUAAAUUCAUAUGACAAUAGCAACAUUUCUCAAAUAUUUUUUUCAUUUUGUAGUAGGCAAUUCUUUAACUAGUAGUUUUUAAAAAAAUUUACUUUCAUGGGAGUUUUUUUGUUCGUAUUCAGUAGAGUUGUGUCAUUUGCAAACAAGAUGUAUAUGAUUGGUAUAGCAAAGAAGUAUGGGACAAAAAACUGCUCCAUGAGUUACCCAUUUAUUGUUCUUUUUAAUUUUUCCUUCUAGUACGAGACAGUAAUAACAGGAAAAAAAAUAAUGCACUGUAUGUAUUAAAAUUAACAUAUUAUUCAUACCUUAUCCUAUAAAUGUUUAUUAUAUAACGUCUUGAAAUACAGUCAAACAUUUUGGUUAAAUCAAAAAAUUAAUAAUGUUGUAGCUGUUUAAUUGCAAAUAAUGUCACUUAACACUUUUCUAAGGGGAAUUAAAAUAUUGUUUUAACUUAAGUUUAAGUAUUUUUGAACAUAUAAGAUAUACGAUUAAUACACUUAGUUACUUAUCUAAUUAUUAGCUGACAAACAGGGAUUGAAAAACAAUUUUUAUUACGAUCUAAAGAAUAAAAAUAUGUAAUUUUUAAAAGAUUUUCCUGGGACAUUAAUUAUUCUAAGAUACAAAGACCCUCGUGCUGGGUCCAAGCCAAGCAGACAAAAACAUUAAUACUUGGCGAGGAAGUUGUGACAAACAUAUAUAAAUUUUCACUAUACAAUAUUUUUCUGCGACAUUUUUAUCCAAUUUUUAUUUUGUUUCCAAAUUCAUGCAUUUUGUAAGAUAUUUGUAUAAAAUUUAAUAUAAUCUCAGUAAAAGAUAAACAAUAUAUAGCGAAAAUUAACAAAUAUUAAUGCUAAUAUAAUCAAGAAAAAAGAUAAAAAAUUGAAGUUCGUUUAACGUUGUCUGCUCAAGCUGUUAAAGCUAUAAAUUUUAAAAUUGCAUCUCUUCCUGUGACAUUUCUAUAGUUAUAUGUCUUUUGGUAGCUACAGGAUCAAUAAUAUAAAUCACUUUCAGAAAUUCCUAAGAAUGUUCACCAAAAGUUUGGUGGAAUAUUGGCUGCUAUCCAUAAAUCUUUAUCGGUUUUCUUCUUUUUUAAAACAAAAACGUGAUAUGGUUAAAAAUAAAAAUAUAAUAUAAUAAAAUUUUAUUGAAAAUAAUGCCCAACAGCUCUUCAAUUUUUCAUUCGCUAAAUGUAAGUUUCAAAAAUUAAAUAAAAAUUCUCUAAAAUUAAACUUUUUAUAGGGGGUGUUAUCCUUUAAUGUGGGCAAUAUGAAAAAUACGGUUCCUAAAUAAUGAACUUUAAACUUAACAGUAAGAUCAUAAAAAUACAUGCCCAAUUAUUACUUUGUAUAAAAAUGUUUACAUAUCCAAUAAAUACAAUAGAGAUUUUAAUUUGCUCAUAUCAACAAUAGUGUUUGAGAUGGCGGCUCUUCAAUCUUGCUUUAUGAUUCUAAAUUUAAAAGUAGACUAAUCAUUAUAUUCUUAUUACUAAAUAGUGUCGUAGUGCUUUUCGUGUGAAUUUAUGUGAUAUAUUCUAUCUAAUACUAUCAUAUAGGUAUAAAAGCAGUCCUGUUUUAUUGCCGUUAACUUUAUUAUAAAUGCAAAAACAUUUUCAUCUUAUUGAAACACGUUUAAUUGAAAUGCAUUAAUUAAUAAUAUUCAUUAAAUAAAUAUUUUAUAAGUUGGGUUACGGCAACACAAAAUCGGCUGCUUUAUUUUUAUCAGGUCUCCUGGAGGAUUUAAUUAUAUACCUUCUAGUUUAUUGUUUCUUAAUGUGACAAGUCAAUUAGAUCUACAUAGUAUAGAGAUUAUUAAUAUUCCUUCGUGGAGACCAAAUUGCAGGUAAAAAGCGGGUAGCAUUGAUUUUAUUACCUAUAUCACUUAAUUUUUAUGGAUGCAGAGUAUUAAUAUCAAUUUAAGGAAUUUCUAGAAAUAAAAGACGAAAGCGUCUAAAAAAAAGAAUAAAUACAAAAAAAUAAAAACGAUUGAAUAUACUAGAGAUAAUAUUAUGCAGCUUUAAUUCUAGUAGGAAAGAGAUAGGGAACUUUAUUGACUAUUUAGUUGGGUUAACUUUGCAAAAAUGAUCUCUCAUUGGGGAAUUUAACUUAUUUGUUACACUCAUUUUAUAUUUUUCUUCUUCCUCAUUAAAUAAUUAAUUUAAAAUAAGAUCAAAUAUUAACAAAUAAACAUAUAAAAUAACUAUUAAUCUAUUUACAAGAAAUCAGGUCAAUUUUAAAUGCAUCUCUAAAUGCUUACAAAUAAGUUUUUAAAAUAUUUUGUCAAUUUCAGAUGCUCUGAUAUAGGCUUUUUUUAAUUAAUUGAUAAUUGGAUUGCUCAAAAGUUAAAUGUUAAGUGGUAGAUCUAAAAAAACUUUCUAUGUAAAGUUGUCAAAUUACGGUUGCAACUAUGAUUUACUGCAUUAAGGUUUUCAUGAUUAUUUCUCUUUUGGUCAAAAAUAUAGUUCAUCUGAUCACAAAACUUUGUCAAAAAUUCUGUUCUGAUUCCAGUAAAAUUGUAUUUAUUUUUUUUGCUUAAAGCGUUCGUGAAAAUCAACUAAAACAAAGUUUAAAUUUAUAUAAAGGUACAUACGUGCAAGUCAAAAUAGGUAAUAAUAAAAUUUAAAUAUAAAACUUGUUUCACAAAUUUAAGGAAAUAACAAAAUUUGACAAAAAACUCCACAGGAGACAAAAAUUAUCUAUACUAUUACUUAUUCUUAUUUUUAGUUAUUCAAGAGCAGUGAAGUUUUUUAUAUAAAUCAAUACACACGUUUUUGUCAAAAACACAAUAAUAUUUGGUGAAAAAAUGGUCAAUAUUUAAACAAAUUAAUAUGGUAAUAAAGAAAAUAAGUGCUACCCGUUCUGCGUUAUAUUUCCGUCCAAAAUUAAAUAUGUCUACUGACAUAAUAUAAUGGAGAUCCUUGUUGCCCUUGACCAAUGCAUUACAAAGGAUUUAAAGUUUUAGAUUCAUGAACUUUGAAACUUUUGUAUUUCUUUGAAAUCAACCAACUCGGGUCUCGGUAAGGUGGGCUCAGGAUGCAGCGUAUAUUUGCUGUCGAUCCUGACAUUUCGGGGACUACAUAAAUACAUAUCAGCUUAAACUUAAUGUAAAAUUUAAAAAAAAGUGUUAUAUAUUAUGCAAUCCGACCCCUAGAUGUCGUCUUAUAACUAUGUUAUAAUAAUAUAUUAUAUUAAUCGAACAUUAAAAUGUGUGGUUGUUAGUUUUAGUAAAGAGAAACUUUGUCUUCGUGUAACAAAGUGUAGGUCGGAUAAAGAAGAAAUGUAGGGAAUAUUAUGUAAUUCCUGGCAUAAUGUUUAAUCUUUAUUUAUCUUCUUAAAACCUCAACGAGUUUUUGUUAAAGAAAAAAGAGCUCGGCUUUAGGAAAAACUGCAAUUUUUACAGGAAAAAGAACUUUGAAAAAAUAUUUUUAACGCUUCUGUCGAUUUUAAUAAAACCUUACUAAACCAAAGAGCUAUAAAUAUUCCAUCGACAAAGACUGGUUCAAUAAGCAACACUAUGGGAAUUGGAUAUUGAGCAGCAAGCCGCUACAUCCUUUAACUUACAAAAAAUCCUAUUCAAUUCACCAUGUUGUUUUUUGUGCCAGGAUUACCUUCGUAAUCUUAAUGCACAUCCAGCUUUGAUCGUAACAUUUAAUUUACCUGUGAGACACUGGUUAAUAAAAACAGAAGAAAUUCUGAUUAGAAAUUUUAAAAGCCAUAACAAAUAUAUUUGGAUUCAUCCGUGAUGCUAAUUUCUACUAUCGACGCAUUUCACUAGAAAUUGCCACUAAAUGAUAUUCUCUGGAUCUCUCGACCUGGAAACCUUGGACGUCUUGGAUCAAAUACAAUAUUUGUUUGGUAAAUCUAUAUUUAGUUUAAAAAUUUCAUUUAAAGUUUUUAGACCAUUCACCCUAUGAUGAUAUUUUUCUGCAUGAAAAAGAACUUGGCGACUUGCUGGGACACCCUUAAAAAAGUCCAAAUAAAAGUCCAAUUGGUCCAGUAGAUGUUUAUUAAAUGAUCAUAUAAACCAUAAAGUUUAAUUUUAAUCGAAAAAAUCGUAAAAAAUUUUUAACUUAAUAAUUUUGUGUCACCACGUUAUACAAUUUACGUUUAAAUGAUUACUUACGUCAAGAAUUAUAUAAAUAUGCGAUAUGAAAUAUGUGAUAAAUUAUCAACGUUAUAUAACUAGCCACAAUCGCCUUCUCUGCUUUAGGUAAUAGGGUUAUAUACUAAAAAGUUAAUAAAUAAAGAAAGAUUUCCAAACAUAUCAUGAACAGUGCCCCUUGUCAAGUGACACUUAAAGUUUAGAGUUUAACAAUGUGUAAUGGUAAAAAUUUGAUAAUGUUUAAGAUUUACAAAGUAGAUGAAUUAUUAUGACUUCUUAAAAAGUAAAUUAAUAAUAAUCGCUAACGCUGAGUAUAUAUACACAGAAGACCUUAUCCCUUAUAGUAAACUGUGUUUCUAUAAUGGCUAAAAAAUAUAAGUGUAGACGGGCAUAUUUUAUUAAAACACUAGUGCAUGAAACUGCCUUUUUUAGAAAUUGUAGGAAAACGAAAUAUCUUUUAGAUGUUGCAGAUUUGUAAUUUUUCAGUUUUUUAAUACUUAUAUUUUUAAAAUAUUAGGUACUCUAUAUUACUGUAGCAAAAAGGCCUUUAUGUUCGUUUGUUUAUUUAAAUAUAUAUUGUGUUUCUUAUAAACACCUAUAAUGAAGUCAAUUUUACAUGUGAAAAUAUAAACCUAAUCAUAAAAUUGUUAUGAAGUAGCACAUAACAUAAAGAACGCAGUAAUUGAGCAUUAUAAAAACAAAGUGUUGCUUAUUUGAGUAGCUAUGAACCAUUGAUUGAUAAACUUAAUUUGAUAAUAUAAGAAACGAAAUGAAUAUAUUUUUAAAAACAUAUAAUGAUUUUUAAAGUUAGUAUAUGGUAUCACCUUGUUCUUAUAAUUUCUUUAAAUCGAACUUGAGGUCUCUUUCUUUUGUUUAUUUUUAACGUUUGAUUUUAGAUAUAAAACUCAACCAUGUGUUUGUACCCAGGUUAGCAUUUUGUUUAAGUAGCUGCCUCUUGAUAUUUUAUAAUUUAUUUUUUAUAAAAAAAAGAAAGAAGCUUUGCUCUUGCUAAAAUCAGUCGACAAAAGCUAAAAUAAAAUAUCUUUUGGUAGCCUUAAACGUAGCCUUGAUAAAAAAUAUUAAUCGACCAGAAAAUGCAUAUCUUUAAUGUUACAUGAAACAGUAUGUAGCAUAUCUAUUUAAUUGUAAAGUGUGUCGGCAAAUUCUAAUCUAUAACUAGUUACUGUUAAUAAAGAAUAGCUUUACAGAGAUUAGAGAAACCUGGUCAACUAUUUUAUGUCAUAUUUAGAUUUCCAUACCGGUAACAAAAUAACAAAAUUUGUUUUACCUUGACUUCUAAGUGAAAAUUCAACUAUUUGGAAAGUAAUUAAUGGUGUUACUAGUCGAAAUGUAUCUACUACUUAACUUACCCCGCCAUCUUGCCCUGUUAUCUCGGAUUAUACAGAAAAGCAUUCCAAACAAGAUUAUAUUACCUGACAAUGUACUUAGCUAUAAAUUGUAUAGGGUCCAAAAGAUGGGAAAUAAAUAUGUAUUAAAAAUAACCAAAAA
rnacentral:misc_RNA from 1 species